rnacentral:misc_RNA from 1 species
CGGGGAGCCCGGCGUGCCCGGCCCGCCCGGGAAGCCGGGUGAGAUGGGCCCGAAAGGCGAGAAGGGCGACUACGGCGACAUGGGCUCGCCCGGCAUGCUGGGCGCGCCCGGCCUGCCCGGCCCGCCCGGCUACCCUGGCCUGAAGGGCGACAAGGGAGACAAGGGCGACUCGCAGAAGUACCGAAAGCUGAGACGCAGGCAGACGGGACCGGCUACGAGCUAUAUGGACAUGAAAUGAUGAUGGGUCCGCCGGGAGCCCCGGGGCCCGCGGGGCCGCCCGGCGUGGCGGGGCCGCCCGGCAUCAAGGGCGACAAGGGCGAGCCGGGCACGCGCGGCAAGGCGG